rnacentral:rRNA from 1 species
GCCAAAAAUCUAGCCCUAUUUCCCCCAAAUGAACUAAACACCUUUAAAACCCGAAUUAAAACAUUUUAGCAUCUUAGUAAAGGCGAUCAAAAAAUUAAUUAGAGCUACACUAACAGUACCGCAAGGGAAGGAUGAAAUAAAAAUGAAAUAAAUAUAAAGCACAAAACAGCAAAGAUUGGCCCUUGUACCUUUUGCAUCAUGGUUUAACUAGUCUAAUCAAGCAAAAAGAAUUAAAGUUUGACCCCCCGAAACUAAGCGAGCUACUUCAGGGCAGCUUUAUGAGCAAACCCGUCUCUGUUGCAAAAGAGUGGGAAGACCCUUAAGUAGGGGUGACAGACCUACCGAGCUUAGUGAUAGCUGGUUACUCAAGAAAAGAAUUUAAGUCCAACCUAAAAUUAAACAAAUAUAAAUAAAUAUCGCCCUAAUUUUAGAGCAAUUCAAAUAAGGUACAGCCUAUUUGAAACAGGAUACAACCUAAACCAAUGGGUAAUCAAAAACUUUUUACACAACCAAGUAGGCCUAAAAGCAGCCACCUUAAAAACAGCGUCACAGCUUUAUUGUGUUAACAGACCUAAUACCUCUAUAAAAAGAAAACCCUUCAACAGAAUUGAGUAAUUCUAUAUAACUAUAGAAAUUUUUAUGUUAAAACUAGUAACAAGAAGAUUGAACUUCUCUUUAAUGCAAACGUAAAUCAGACAGGACCCCCCCACUGAUAAUUAACAUCAUUAAACCUAAAGCAGUAACAAAACAAGAAAGCCCUGCUUGACCUCAUGUUAACCUAACACAAGAGCACUACAAGAAAGAUUUAAAGAAAAGGAAGGAACUCGGCAAAUAUUAACCUCGCCUGUUUACCAAAAACAUCGCCUCUUGCACCACAUAAGAGGUCCAGCCUGCCCAGUGACUCUGUUCAACGGCCGCGGUAUCCUAACCGUGCGAAGGUAGCGUAAUCACUUGUUCUUUAAUUGAGGACUAGUAUGAAUGGCACCACGAGGGUUAUACUGUCUCCCUUUUCUAAUCAGUGAAACUGAUUUUCCCGUGAAGAAGCGGGAAUUUUCAUAUAAGACGAGAAGACCCUAUGGAGCUUUAAACUUACUACACAUGCCUGAACAUUUCUAAUUUCAGAAAACCAACUUACAGCCCAGCAUUUAUGAUUAAUAAGUUUUAGGUUGGGGUGACCGCGGAGCAAAAUUUAACCUCCGCACUGAAAGGACCUUUAACCUUAGCCAAGAGCCACGACUCUACGCAUCAAUAACUUGACACUAAUUGACCCAAUAUAUUGACCAACGAACCAAGUUACCCUAGGGAUAACAGCGCAAUCCACUUCAAGAGCCCCUAUCGACAAGUGGGUUUACGACCUCGAUGUUGGAUCAGGGUAUCCCAGUGGUGCAGCCGCUACUAAAGGUUCGUUUGUUCAACGAUUAAAACC